UCCUAUUUAUAUACCAAGUUACCAACCCAUAAAGCUAUAUCAACCAACCAUCCCAAAUCCCACAUGCAAAGAUGCCAUUAACAUAAAACAGAGCAGAAAAAAGAUAGAAAAAAAAAAAAAAAGUGUGUUGAUUGUGAAAUUUGAGGAGGAGGAGAAGAGAGAAUAGUGACACCUCUCCCUCAGGCAGUGUCUUCCACUCCCAACAAUUCUCACCUUCAUUUCACAGGGGAAAAAAGAGCACGACGCCUUCGAAUAUAAAAGCGGAAAAAGCAGAUACCGUCAAUCGAUGCCUGCCCGUAGCUCUCGGAUUCGGAGCCCAGCUGACGUCAACACGGAGAAAUCGAGUGACGUCAUAUUUGGCAAAAUUUUUUAUCAAGAGAGAAGUAAAA